rnacentral:rRNA from 1 species
AGUGAACGCUGGCGGUAGGCCUAGCACGUGCAAGUCGAACGGCAGCACAGAGGAGCUUGCUCCUUGGGUGGCGAGUGGCGGACGGGUGAGGAAUACAUCGGAAUCUACUCUGUCGUGGGGGAUAACGUAGGGAAACUUACGCUAAUACCGCAUACGACCUACGGGUGAAAGCAGGGGAUCUUCGGACCUUGCGCGAUUGAAUGAGCCGAUGUCGGAUUAGCUAGUUGGCGGGGUAAAGGCCCACCAAGGCGACGAUCCGUAGCUGGUCUGAGAGGAUGAUCAGCCACAGUGGAACUGAGACACGGUCGAGACUCCUACGGGAUGCAGCAGUGGGGAAGAUUGGACAAUGGGCGCAAGCCUGAUCCAGCCAUACCGCGUGGGUGGAGAAGGCCUUCGGGUUGUAAAGCCCUUUUGUUGGGAAAGAAAUCCAUCUGGUUAAUACCCGGGUGGGAUGACGGUACCCAAAGAAUAGGCACCGGCUAACUUCGUGCCAGCCGCCGCAGUAA